rnacentral:tRNA from 1 species
GCCUGGGUGGCUCAGUCAGUUGAGCGUCAGACUUCAACUCAGGUCAUGAUCUCGUGGUUCGUGAGUUCCAGCCCCACACUGGGCU